rnacentral:rRNA from 1 species
AGCUUGCUCCCGGAUGUUAGCGGCGGACGGGUGAGUAACACGUGGGUAACCUGCCUGUAAGACUGGGAUAACUCCGGAGCAAACCGGAGCUAAUACCGGAUAGUUCCUUGAACCGCAUGGUUCAAGGAUGAAAGACGGUUUCGGCUGUCACUUACAGAUGGACCCGCGGCGCAUUAUCUAGUUGGUGAGGUAACGGCUCACCAAGGCGACGAUGCGUAGCCGACCUGAGAGGGUGAUCGGCCACACUGGGACUGAGACACGGCCCAGACUCCUACGGGAGGCAGCAGUAGGGAAUCUUCCGCAAUGGACGAAAGUCUGACGGAGCAACGCCGCGUGAGUGAUGAAGGUUUUCGGAUCGUAAAGCUCUGUUGUUAGGGAAGAACAAGUGCAAGAGUAACUGCUUGCACCUUGACGGUACCUAACCAGAAAUGACCUACGGCUAACUACGUGCCUAGCAGCCGCGGUAAUACGUAGGUGGCAAGCGUUGUCCGGAAUUAUUGGGCGUAAAGGGCUCGCAGGCGGUUUCUUAAGUCUGAUGUGAAAGCCCCCGGCUCAACCGGGGAGGGUCAUUGGAAACUGGGAAACUUGAGUGCAGAAGAGGAGAGUGGAAUUCCACGUGUAGCGGUGAAAUGCGUAGAGAUGUGGAGGAACACCAGUGGCGAAGGCGACUCUCUGGUCUGUAACUGACGCUGAUGAGCGAAAGCGUGGGGAGCGAACAGGAUUAGAUACCCUGGUAGUCCACGCCGUAAACGAUGAGUGCUAAGUGUUAGGGGUUUCCGCCCCUUAGUGCUGCAGCUAACGCAUUAAGCACUCCGCCUGGGGAGUACGGUCGCAAGACUGA